GAACCAAGGACUUUGUAUAUAUAACAGGACUGAGUACUGCCAAAAUUUUAAUUACUAAAACACGUCGUAAGCUGUUGUAAUAAGAUUCAAUUUGGCAAUCAACGUUUCAAGAGCCAAAACGAGCCGAGCGAGAUAGCUAGAUUAGAGGCCGUUUGUCCCUUACUAACGCUUGCCAUCCCAAAAAAAACGUGAUAGUUGGUAGAAAAUAUUUGAUUUGAUUUGAAUUGAAAAUGUUAGAUUUUUAUGUCAAACAAUGAUUUAAUUAUCAUACGAACUCUAAGCAUAACUUAUAAUUAAAUAAUAACUUUAAACUUACUAAUAAGAUUAAAGUUAUUAUUUAAUAAGAUAUUAUUUUGUAUCGUACCUCAUAAUAAUUAUGUUAAACCUGUCAUUAUUUCAAACACUUGGUAGUAUUCUUUUUAUUACCUUAUGCCAACCCUUUCAUCUGUCAUGGCGGUUUGUUUUGAAUUUAUUUGUUGUUGUCUUGUCAUACCAAGUUAUAUUUGCAAAUUAGUAAGUUUCAUUGAAGAAAUUGAGAAAAAGUGCUGUGUACAAGUUUGUAAAAGUGAAUCGUGUGGUGGUUGCGGCAUAUUAUUUCACAGAUUUCCCAAGAAUGAAGAUAAGAAAAAAAUAUGGCUAUCCAUCCAGAUGUUGUUCCGGUGUCACAAUAGAUCAUCAUCAUCCAGUUCAAUGUAAUGAAGAACCACACAUGAGUUCCAGUUGUGAAGGCAUUAGCUAAUUCAUAUUUAAAUUUUAACAUACUUAUUCCAUAAUGGAAAAUCUAAUUCCUUAAAGAAUUUAGGCAGUAACAUUGGCCUCCGGCAGAAUUGUAUAAAACAAUAUUGUUUAGCCAUGUUUAGUAAUAUUAAAAAUAAAUUCGAUAUA